CCUACGGGUGGCAGCAGUGAGGAAUAUUGGUCAAUGGACGAGAGUCUGAACCAGCCAAGUAGCGUGAAGGAUGACUGCCCUAUGGGUUGUAAACUUCUUUUAUAUGGGAAUAAAAUGUUCCACGUGUGGGAUUUUGUAUGUACAAUAUGAAUAAGGAUCGGCUAACUCCUUGCCCACAGCCUCGGUACUACGGAGGGUCCGAGCGUUAUCCGGAUUUAUUGGGGUUAAAGGGAGCGUAGGGAGAUUGUUAAGUCAGUUGUGAAAGUUUGCGGCUCAACCGUAAAAUUGCAGUUGAAACUGGCAGUCUUGAGUACAGUAGAGGUGGGCGGAAUUCGUGGUGUAGCGGUGAAAUGCUUAGAUAUCACGAAGAACUCCGAUUGCGAAGGCAGUUCACUGGACUUCAACUGACACUGAGGCUCGAAAGUGUGGGUAUCAAACAGGAUUAGAUACCCUGGUAGUC
rnacentral:rRNA from 1 species